rnacentral:rRNA from 1 species
UACGGGGGGGGCAAGCGUUGUUCGGAAUUACUGGGCGUAAAGCGUGCGUAGGCGGUUCGUCAAGUCUGAUGUGAAAGCCCCGGGCUCAACCUGGGAACUGCAUUGGAAACUAGCGAGCUUGAGUGUGGCAGAGGGGCGUGGAAUUCCACGUGUAGCAGUGAAAUGCGUAGAGAUGUGGAGGAACACCGAUAGCGAAGGCAGCCCCCUGGGCUAACACUGACGCUCAGGCACGAAAGCGUGGGGAGCAAACAGG